AAAUGAUCGCGGGAAGCCUGAAAAAAGGAGCAGGCAGAUUCCACUCUGUCCUGAAUCUGGCUUGGAAAGCCAUCUGGAUCAAAGACACAGGACUCCCAAAAUCCAGAUAAAGUGGCAACUAGAACCAGCUUUUCCUCUCCUCUUCAGUGACUUCUCACUACAGGGCAAGAAGAACUUCUCUGUUGUGGUAUCACCCAGUCUAAUGCUUUGUUUUUCAACUGCAUGUUUUUACCACCGGUAUCUUCGUUCGGACUUGGACCAGGAACAACCCAGGAUGAGGGCGCAGUGCUAAUUAUUUCAGGUCUAUAGAGAGGACAACCAUUUCCCGAAGGAAAAAGAGUUUCUUUCUGAACAUCGCUGCCAGGUGGUGUUUUAUAUAUAGCACUGAAGCCAUUUGGGGGUUUUCCAGAGACAGCUGCAUUUUCUAUUGCUUCAGAGGGAUUCGAUUUGAACUGCAUCUCUGGAUUUCUUUCAGGAGUAAAUCCAAGACCAGCUAUA